AUAUCUGUACACAGUUCUCUCUGUAUGGAAAUGAAUGCAGUGUCUUCCUCUUUUUUCCAUGUUGACUGAAUGGAUUAAAGUGUCUUCACUGGUUAACGGCUGCACUGGGACAUAAGGUGAGGUAAACAGUGUCUUAGUAGAGUUUGUGCUUCUUUUCCAUUUGAGUAAAUGGUGGUAAAUGCUUUUAUGAUUAGGUUUCUUGUUUUUUCUCUCUCACUUCUCUUCACAUGUUGGAGCUGAAAUCUUCUACCUUGGUGGGACAGACUGUGCAGUACUUUAAAACUUGAGACGACGGCAAUAAAAAAGGUGAGAUGAAGACUGACGAGGUUGAAUGUCCUUUUUUACGAUGUAAAUGAACUGGUGUGGAUUGUUCUUGCAGGUACAGUCUGGUUCUGUGCUGCUUGUUCUCUGCAUGUUUUUCCAGGGAUUCCUCUCCCCCUGUCUGGAUGAUGGUGGUCUUUCUCUACCUACAUAUGUCUGUGUGAUGGAGGAUCAGUGCUGCAGUGAACAGU